AUGUCCUGAGCUCAGUUGGUAGAGCAUUGUGCUUGCAACUCCAAGGUUGUUGGUUCGAUUCCCACAGGGGACC
rnacentral:tRNA from 1 species